CUCUUCGUUAAGUCGUCCUUCCCAACAUGGCGCAGUCUAUUAACAUCACGGAGCUGAAUCUGCCGCAGCUAGAAAUGCUCAAGAACCAGCUGGACCAGGAAGUGGAGUUCUUGUCCACGUCCAUUGCUCAGCUCAAAGUGGUACAGACUAAGUAUGUGGAAGCCAAGGACUGUCUGAACGUGCUGAACAAGAGCAACGAGGACGGAAUUUCGCUCUGUCGCCCAGGCUGGAGCGCAAUGGUGAGAUCUUGGUUUACUGCAACCUCCGCCUCCCGAGUUCAAGAGAUUCUUCUGUCUCAGUCUCCCGAGUAGCUGGGACUUUAGGUACGCGCCACCACGACCGGCUAAUUUUUGUAUUAAUAGUAGAGUUGGGGGUUUCACCAUAUUGGCCAGGCUAGUCUCGAACUCCUGACCUCGUGAUCCGCCUGCCUCGGCCUCUCAAAGUGCUAGGAUUACAUUACAGGCGUGAGCCACUGCCCCCGGCCAAGAAUACUCUUAUUACACACUUUGUAGCUCUUUUAUCUGACUUCACACCAACAUCCAGCUAAUGUCUUGUGAACACCAAGGAGUAUGUAUAGUUGAGAUGUAAUAUUUCCCUUUGCUGUUUGAGAACAUUAAUAUGGAGAUAAAGCUGGUGGUUUACACUUUGCUAAUAUCUUAGAAGAUACAGGCAAUAGACAAAAAUAGGAGGAUAUAGAAACAGGGAGCUUGGCUCUGUUAAUUAAUCUUCAACUUCAGCUUAAUUGUGGCUCAUUUCUAAACUGUCACUAAGAAACCUGGAUUGUGUUCACUUGUUCAGUGUUUUAUUUGAAUGAGCAAGUUAUGGCAGUAGGGCAUCUUUAAUCUGUAGUCUCAGAACUGACAGGCUAAAAGGAACACAGGAAUAGUAGUGUGUAGUAGGGAAUGGUUUAAAAAAAAAAAAAAUUAGCCAGGCACAGUGGUUCACGCCUGUAAUCCCAGCACUUUGGGAGGCCAAGGCUGGCAGAUCACCUGAGGUCAGGAGUUAGAGAUCGGUCUGGCCAACAUGGUGAAACCCCGUCUCUACUAAAUAUACAAAAAUUAGCCAGGCGUGGUGGCACAUGCUUGUAAUCCCAGCUACUCCGGCGACUGAGACAGGAGAAUUGCUUUAACCCGGGAGGCAGAGGUUGCAGUGAGCCGAUAGCGGGCAAUUGCACUCCAACCUGGGCGAUAGAGCGAGACUCUAUCUCACAAAGCAAAAAACAAACAAAACAUUGACUUUGUCAGGAAUUAGCUACUUCAUGAUUGAGGGCAUUAAGGGAAAUGAGGCUGGCUUUUUACUUGUAGUACUCUACAACAGUAGGAAAACAUUAGUCUUUCUGGAGGGGCUAAUGGGAAGAAUUGCAAGAACUGCUUAGAGAGUGAGAGUUGGGAUGAGGCAGGACAAGAGGGUGUUCCAGCAUACAUCAUUUUCUCCUUAAAGAACCAACUUCUCUGUCUUCUUUCCAUUUGGAGUUAUAGGUAUUGUUCUAAGGCCUCCAGAUUAUUCAGUCCUUAUGCCUUGUAGCUUUUUGGAAAAGGAGGGUCUUUGGACGCCAAGCAGGCUGGCUGGCGGAAUCAUGGCUCAUGCUGGGCUGGCUAGUUUUUCCCUUAAUUCUUGCUUCUCAGAUGUAUGUCCCUGGGAAGCUGCAUGAUGUGGAACACGUGCUCAUCGAUGUGGGAACUGGGUACUAUGUAGAGAAGACAGCUGAGGAUGCCAAGGACUUCUUCAAGAGGAAGAUAGAUUUUCUAACCAAGCAGAUGGAGAAAAUCCAACCAGCUCUUCAGGAGAAGCACGCCAUGAAACAGGCCGUCAUGGAAAUGAUGAGUCAGAAGAUUCAGCAGCUCACAGCCCUGGGGGCAGCUCAGGCUACUGCUAAGGCCUGAGAGUUUUUGCAGAAAUGGGGCAGAGGGACACCCUUUGGGCGUGGCUUCCUGGUGAUGGGAAGGGUCUUGUGUUUUAAUGCCAAUAAAUGUGCCAGCUGGGC
rnacentral:sRNA from 1 species